rnacentral:lncRNA from 1 species
UUAUAAAAAUAUAGUGUUGAAUUUUAUGUAAAUACUUCUGAAGAGAACCUUGAUAAUGUUUCUUGCCUUUUAAUGAUUAUAAUAUGAACUGGUUCCAAUCUAUAAUUUCUUCCAGGUAAUAGUGGUGUAUUGUUAUUCAAAUAUCACUAUUUCUUUAUUGUUAAGAAUGUGAAUAGUUUUGACUUACUACUCAGUGCUACUUCUUACAAUCUGUUUUCUAGGGGGAUGUUAAUUUAAUUUAAUUUAAUAUAUAUAUAUAUAUAUAUUUUUUUUUUCUGGUUGGUUGUUGAUCAGGACAACUCAGAACUCCUUAACUCAAGAAAGGAUGUGGAGCUGAAAAGAGGACAUGGUUCAAAUUGAAGUGAAAGAAGAAGGAGUUGUAGAAUACAUUGCCAGAACCAGGUAUUUUACUCACCCAGGAGUCCUACUCAGUUGCAACAGUGCCCAUGCCAGACAGACAAGAAACAUUAUGAAGAACAGCAACAGAAUAAUCAGAUGCAGCAAACCCUAAUGUGUUGUAGUGGGGAACUGCAGCUUCUUUUUCUCCAACUCUCUUACAUGAGAUUCUCAUUUGGAUUUUCUGUUGGUGUUACAAUAUUCUAAAAUGUCAUUGUUCAGUUGCCAGAGAACAGGACUUAACACUGUAGCCUUAUAUCAGGGAUAUAUGCUUAUCCUGUGUGUCUAUGCUAGUUAUAAAUUUGGAUAUUUAGGAAGGGCUUUCACUGAAAUAUGGGCUAUAUGUGGUAAUUAAUCUGGCCUCAGUGAUUAAAUUACAACCUAGCUAUAUUUUAACUUCUUGUUCUUUGGGAUUGUUCCUGGGGAAAAAAAAAAAAAAAAAAAAAUCGCUUAGGAAAUAAAAUGGACA